GAGUGUUUGACACUUUAGGUAAAACAUUCAAAGACAUCUUUUUCUUCUACUGGAGUACCCCAUAAAAUCUGAAAAUAAGCCUUUUUUACUUUUGUAAGGUGUAAACUUAUAUGUAUAUACAUCUAGUUAUAUACAUAUGUAUAAACUAGACUAUUAAGGAGAAAAACAGCAUGCUAACAAUUUCAAGAACAAAAAAACUAGAAGCCUGAUUUCUACUUACUCUUUUCAGAUGCCCAAACACAUUCCAAUCAUAAGGAAAUCAAGUACUCUACAGAUUUCACUGGACUUACUACCAUUAAGACUUCUAUCAAGUUUGAUCAAAACCAGUCAAAGGUUUCAAAAGCCUUCAGAACAGAAGAGGGAGGUAACAGUGAAUGCAGUGGAACUGUCAUGUCACAGCCUGAAUCAGUAGUUGAGCACCAGUGGAUAGAGUUUGGAUUCUGCUGGAUUGGGAUCUACAGACAACACAUCCUAGAACUAUAAUUACAAUAGCUUUUCUCCAAAAUACUAUAGGAAAACUAUCAUUCUCACUAAGCAUCAUAAGCUUGUUGCAUCCCCUAGACAGCCACUGUGUUGCUUCAGUUCAUCUGCAACAUCCCAAACUCCUACAUGCCUUCGAAUAAUUUUAAGUCAUGGCAUGAUCCAAUACAAAUAAGGCCAAAUCACCACACUGCUCAGUGUAGAUUCUUUCUGUUGUUUAAUAAUCCCCAGCUACUUAUGCUAGAGCAAUGCUCAUCAGCUGGAGCUCAAAGUAAUAGACUGCCUGGCAUAAAACCAAAAGCUUGAAUACACAGCUUAGGAACCUUUAUGACUUCACUUGAAAUCUUGACUCACUCAGCUUUCUAUUUAGCCCACCAAAGAGCUCAAGAAGACUUGGAGAAACAUGAACAACAAUAAUUUAAUAUUGCAUUAAAAUCUGUUUACCAUUA